rnacentral:lncRNA from 1 species
GGCUAUGAAAGAAUAGUAGUGAGCUUGUGGUGUUGAUGUGAACUAAAUUUGUCGUUCCUCUACCUUAUGCCUUUGUUCCCAACGUCAUAAGAUUGUGACAGAGAAUGGUCCAGAGUACAAGCAACUAUCCUGUCGAUUAGUUCUAGGCCCGGCUGCGCAUCAGAGGUAUAAAAAAGUGUUUAUUAGGAAUGCUUUCCUGGGUAUCAACAUUAUUAGGGUCCCUAAUUGAGUCGUUAAAAAAUUCUGAGGUAAUCGAAAGGAGAUGCACUAUUUGAAGAAAAUUUUCUUUCUUUCCCACUUGAUAGUUGAUAUAUUCUGAGAUGCACUAGUUGAUAUAUAUAAUGGUCUUGGUCGAAUUUUUUGAGGAUAGUUUGUUGUACUUCAUCUCAGUAAAAUAAUCAGAUUUUUUUUGGUUAUCUUAUUAGUUCAAAGUUGAAUUGUUGGUGCCUAGCUAGUCUGAGACUUAUGUUCUGCCGUACCUGGAGUAUUUUACCAAGGCUUGAGUGAUACAGUUGUACUAGUUGAUUAUUUUAAGAUGCACUAGCUGAUAUAUAUAAUGGUCUUGGUCGAAUUUUUCGAGGAUAGUUUGUUGUACUUCAUCUCAGUAAAAUAAUCAGAUUUUUUAUUAUCUUAUUAGUUGAAAGUUGAAUUGUUGGUGCUUAGCUAGUCUGACACUAUGUUCUGCCGUACCUGGAGUAUUUUACCAAGGCUUGAGUGAUACAGUUGUACCAAAUGUUUAAGGAGUGUAAAUGCCUCUGAAUUUUAUUUACAACAUCGACAGGAUUGUUAAUUAUUAUGUCAUGAAAAUGCACAUCCAGAUUCAAUCUGUAAUACUAGAAGAACAGGCCAAAAUAAAUACUAGAAGAAAAUAAAACAAAAAUCUGUUAAAAUUUUGGACGUAAUUGAAAGAAAAAAGGAGGCACUAUUCAAAAAACUUGUAUUUUUUUUCAUUUGGUAGUUGAUAUAUAUAAUGGUUGAAUUUUUGGAGUGUAGUUUGUUGUACUUUAGUAUCUCAUUAAACCAUCAGUUUUUUC